GAACCAGGACGGGAUAGCAGGUCUCCUGCGGCUCACCUCCCAAACUCCGUCCUGUUCCCUUUCUUCAUCCCACCCCCCAAAUGUUCCCCAACACCGGCGUCAGCCAGACCUGAUACUGGGCAACGGACUGGACAAGACCUGCCCUCAAGGCCACCCAGACCCAUCUAGCCCGGCUGAUGCAGGAACCACCCAGAAGAGGAAACAGCAGUAUAGAGAGGAAAUAUCAGCCUCUGCCAGAUGGGGAAACUGAGGCUCAGAAAGGCCAGUUGAUGCCCAAGGCAGGUACCUUCGUAGGCCUCCUCGGUAUACUCGGCGUUGAUGAACCUGCCCAGAAUGUCGUUCUCAUCGGCAAAGGCGAGCAGGAUCCGCACGAUCUCCUUGGUGUUAGGGUUGAUGUUCAGCAAGGCCUUCAU